GACUUGAAAUUAAAGUCCCUCUAUCCCC
rnacentral:tRNA from 1 species